rnacentral:rRNA from 1 species
AGACAGCAGUAGCCGCGGUAAUACGGAGGGUGCAAGCGUUAUCCGGAUUUAUUGGGUUUAAAGGGUCCGUAGGCGGACUUAUAAGUCAGUGGUGAAAGCCUGUCGCUUAACGAUAGAACUGCCAUUGAUACUGUAAGUCUUGAGUAUAUUUGAGGUAGCUGGAAUAAGUAGUGUAGCGGUGAAAUGCAUAGAUAUUACUUAGAACACCAAUUGCGAAGGCAGGUUACCAAGAUAUAACUGACGCUGAGGGACGAAAGCGUGGGUAGCGAACAGGAUUAGAUACCCCCGUAGUCCCUGUCUCUUAUAA